rnacentral:rRNA from 1 species
UCUGGUGCUUCAACGCGAUGGAAACACCUCUUCCCAUUCCGAACAGAGCAGUUAAGCGUCGUAGUGCCGAUGGUACCCCGCUUUGGCGGGGGAGAGUAGGUAAGUGCCAGAG